GAUGAACGCUGGCGGCGUGCAUAACACAUUCAAGUCGAACGGUGACGGGGCUUCGGCCCCUGAUCAGUGGCGGACGGGUGAGUAACGCGUGAGCAACCUGCCCUUGUGUGGGGGAUACCGUCUGGAAACGGACGUUAAUACCGCAUAACGUAUCCGGAUCACAUGUUCCGGAUACCAAAGAUUUAUUGCGCAAGGAUGGGCUCGCGUCUGAUUAGGUAGUUGGUAGGGUAACGGCCUACCAAGCCGACGAUCAGUAGCCGGACUGAGAGGUUGAACGGCCACAUUGGAACUGAGAUACGGUCCAG
rnacentral:rRNA from 1 species